UACGGGGGGGGCAAGCGUUGUUCGGAAUUACUGGGCGUAAAGGGCUCGUAGGUGGCCAACUAAGUCGGACGUGAAAUCCCUCGGCUUAACCGGGGAACUGCGUCCGAUACUGGUUGGCUUGAGUUUGGGAGAGGGAUGCGGAAUUCCAGGUGUAGCGGUGAAAUGCGUAGAUAUCUGGAGGAACACCGGUGGCGAAGGCGGCAUCCUGGACCGGCAUUGACGCUGAGGCGCGGAAGCCAGGGGAGCAAACGGGAUUAGAACCCCGGUUC
rnacentral:rRNA from 1 species